AAUUUUGUACUAUUGGCGCAAGCCUGAUCCAGCCAGGCCGCGUGAGUGAUUAAGGCCUACGUGUUNUAAAGCUCUUUCGGACGGAANGAAAUCGCGCAGGCUAAUACCCUGCGCGGCUGACGGUACCGUCAUAAGAAGCACCGGCUAACUAUGUGCCAGCAGCCGCGGUAAUAUGUAGGGUGCGAGCGUUAAUCGGAAUUACUGGGCGUAAAGCGUGCGCAGGCGGUUGAUUAAGACAGACGCGAAAUCCCCGGGCUUAACCUGGGAACUGCGCUUGGGACUGGUCAACUAGAGUACGGCAGAGGGAGGUGGAAUUCCACGUGUAGCAGUGAAAUGCGUAGAGAUGUGGAGGAACACCGAUGGCGAAGGCAGCCCCCUGGGCCGAUACUGACGCUCAUGCACGAAAGCGUGGGUAGCAAACAGG
rnacentral:rRNA from 1 species